rnacentral:rRNA from 1 species
AUGCUCUCGCUCUCGGCUCCUUCCUCGCCCCCGCCCUCGCCUCCUACCCGCAGCACCACCACCGCUCCCACCGCCGUCGGCCUCCUUCGUGGGGCCGCGGGGCGGCGCGACGCGCCGCUCACCACCGCGCUCCACGCCGUCCUCCUCAAGUCCGGCGCGCUCCACUCUUUCCAGCCCCUUGUCGCGUCCAACUCCCUCCUCCACGCCUACCUCCAAUGCGGCCUCCACUCCCACGCGCUCAACCUGCUCGACGAAACGCCGCGCCGUGACGCCGCCACCUACUCCACCCUCAUCUCGCUCCAUUGUCGCCUCGGCGCGCCCCUGGACGCCGUCCGCGCCUUCGUGGACAUGCUGCUGGCCCACGCCGCAGACGAGGACGACGCCGCCGCCGUCCGUGCCAACGAGUUCACGAUGGCCGCGCUCCUGCAGGCCUGUGGCCUCGCCAAGGAUGGGAGGCUGGGGAGGAUGGUGCAUGGCUACCUCGUGACAAAUGGCUUCUGCGCCGACCCCUUUGUGGUCGGCUCGUUGGUCAAUAUGUACGCCAAGGUUGGGGAUGUGGUCAGCGCGCGGAGGCUGGUUCUCAGAUUGGCUUUCAGGGAUGUUGUUUCCUGGACUGCUGUUAUAUCAGGGUGCGUGCUCAACGGGAUGCUAGGAGAGGCUCUCGAUGUGUUUGUCAUGAUGCUGGAAGAUGGUGUCCUUCCCAACAAUGUUACAAUGUUGAGUGUCAUUCAGGCAUGCUCUUUGAUGGGCCACUCAGGGUUGUUCAGUCCGGUGCACGCUCUUGUUACUCGGGUGGGCCUCGAGGACGAUGUUUCGGUGGUGAAUUCUCUCAUCAUGAUGUAUGCAAAGAAUGGCUUUAUCGAAGAGGCUGCACGGCUUUACGAGGAUCUGUACCUCAGGAGAGGGACUGUGUGCUCUAAUGCUGAUGUUCUUGGCGCGCUUCUUUAUGGUUGCACGGUCUCAGCAUCCCUGCUUUAUGGGAGAGAAAUCCAUGCACACUUGAUUAAACUGAGUGCUCUUCCAAACAUCAGCAUUAAAAACUGCCUCAUGGGCAUGUAUGCUAGAUUCGAGCGAGUUGACGCAACGUAUUUGGUGUUUAAAGGCAUGAAAGUUAAAGAUAUUGUUUCGUGGAACACCAUGAUCUCAUGCCUUGCCAAGAGUGACCAUGUAAAUGAAGCCUUGGACCUUUUCAGCACUCUCCAUAGUGGUGGUAGUGGGCUUGUGCCUGAUUUCGUCACGGUCUUGAGCGUAGUUCAGGCAUGCUCCAAUGCUGGAUUACUUCUACAAGGGCAGAUGCUCCAUGGAUACAUUGUAAAAUAUGGUUUUGUGCACGAUGUGUCGAUCUCCAAUGCUCUAAUAAUCAUGUAUGCUAAGUUAGGAAGAAUCGAUUUCGCUGAGAAGAUCUUCGGGCGGAUGGAUGUUAAGGACCUUGUUUCCUGGAAUUCGAUGAUUAAUGCUUAUGGGAUACACGGAGAUGGGCAGUCAGCUCUAAAGUAUUUCCACCAGCUGACAGAUGUUGGAGCACAUGCUCCUAAUGCUAUCACGUUUUUGAAUGUGAUAUCUGCUUGCAGUCACUCUGGUUUGAUUUCAGAAGGAUACAAGUGCUUUGAAAGCAUGAGAAGGGACCAUGGAAUUGAGCCUUGCAUGGAUCAUUAUGCUUGUGUAGUGGAUCUGUUUGGAAGGUCUGGGAGAUUUUCUGAGGCAGAAGAAUUUAUCAGGGAUAUGCCUGUUCCUCCCAACUCUUCCAUUUGGGGACCCUUGCUGGCUGGUUGCCGACUUCAUGGGAAUGUUGAUCUUGCAGAAAAGGCUGCUAAAGAACUACUAGCCUUGGAACCUGACAGUGAUAUAUGGAGAGUCUCCUUGUCAAAUAUCUAUGCAUCGGCUGGGAGAUGGAAAGACUCUGCAAAGAUUAGGACUGAAAUGAAGAGAGUCGGUUUGAGAAAGGAGACUGGUUGGAGCUUUGUAGAUGUAGGAGGGGUUGAGGGUUUUAAGUUUGUGUCGGCGGAUUCAAGGCAUCCUGACGCUGAAAAAAUGUAUGCAGUAUGGCACAGUAUGAACAAGCACAUGACAGAUGUAGCUGGUGAUGUGCAUCAACUGAGUCUGGUGAGUGUAAAUUAG